GCGGAUAUGGCGGAAUUGGCAGACGCGUAGGAUUCAGAUUCCUAUCCUCGAAAGAGUGGUGCGGGUUCAAGUCCCGCUAUCCGCA
rnacentral:tRNA from 1 species